rnacentral:rRNA from 1 species
GGGCCUGCCAAUGAGUUAAUUAAUGGCCGCGGUAUUUUGACCGUGCGAAGGUAGCAUAAUCAAUAGUCUAUUAAAUGUGGUCUGGAAUGAAUGGUUUGACGGGGAGUAGCUUUUUUAUUCUUAUAACUGAAUUUUAAUUAUUAGUGAAAAUGCUAAUGUGGUUUAGAGGGACGAGAAGACCCUAUAGAGCUUUAUAUAAUUUAUUAGAUUUAGUGGUAUUAAUUCUUUUGUUUAUAUUUUGUUGGGGCGACAGUUGAUCUAAACAUUUACUAAAAUGACUAUAAUUAUAGGAUAUUUGAUCCAUUACUAGUGAUUAACAGACUAAGUUACCUUAGGGAUAACAGCAUAAUUUUAUUUUAGAGUUCUUAUCGAUGAUAAAGUUUGUGACCUCGAUGUUGGAUUAAGAGUCUUUUGGGGCGCAGUAGUUCUACAAAGUAGUCUGUUCGACUAUUGAAAUCUUACAUGAUCUGAGUUCAAACCGGAGA